CGGCAGGCGAGGGGGACCGGCGGUCCCCGGGGCUGAGGCUCCGGGCUGCGGGCCCCGCUCCGCGGCGGCGGCAGAUCUCGAUAGUAAUUCCGUAGGAGCAACAGAGCACAACUGCAGAGUGGAGAUUGUCUUUCUGGAUGCGAGUGAACCAGGAGGCUGGAUGCAAUGGAGAGUCUUGCAGGA